UUUAUAAUUUUUGUUUUCUCUGACGACACAUAACGUAGAGUUUGAAACUCCGGCAAGCACGCAUCGACAGUUCAAUGUCAAUGGCCGUUUCCAGCGUAUCGCCGAAGCAACGCUAUAGUAAUCAAGGGUGGGAGUUCCUGCAAGCAGGAGGACUCGGUAAUGAUCCUUCCGCAGGUUCACCUGUAAAUCGUUAGCAUAUUGAACUCUUGAAAAUGGAAGGCUCAUUUUACAUACCUACGGAAA
rnacentral:misc_RNA from 1 species